GCAGAUGUGGUGGAAUUGGUAGACACGCUAGCUUCAGGUGCUAGUGCUCGAAAGGGCGUGAGAGUUCGAGUCUCUCCAUCUGCACCA
rnacentral:tRNA from 2 species